UCAUAUUGCUACGCCUCCGAGGUCAG
rnacentral:piRNA from 1 species